GACCGCGUAGCUCAGUUGGCAGAGCAUUGGGCUAGCAUUCCAAAGGUCGUAGGUUUGAUUCCCACCGUGGUCA
rnacentral:tRNA from 1 species